GCGAGACUACAGAGAAGGUCUUCCGGAACGCCGUUUCGGGGGCCUUUUUCUUUUGCGGUGAGAGCCAGUCCAUCUCAA
rnacentral:misc_RNA from 1 species